CGCCCGGGUAAUACGAGCGCAAGCUUAAAAUCUAAAGGACUUGACGGUGUCCCACCCCCCUAGAGGAGCCUGUUCUAUAAUCGAUAACCCCCGCUUUACCUCACCACUUCUUGCUCUUACGCAGCCUGUAUACCUCCGUCGCAAGCUUGCCGUAUGAAUGAACUAUAGCAAGCUCAAUGACAUACUUGCCAAUACGUCAGGUCAAGGUGCAGCCUAUGAAGUGGCAAGCAAUGGGCUACAAUUUCUAGUCUAGAAUAAACAAACAACCAUCUGAAACAUGGAUAUAAAGGUGGAUUUAGCAGUAAAGGGGGACAAUAGAGUCCCCUUUAAUAGCGGCCCUGGGACGCG
rnacentral:rRNA from 1 species